UACGGGGGGAGCAAGCGUUUGUUCGGAUUUACUGGGCGUAAAGCGCGCGUAGGCGGCCUGUCGCGUCAGAGGUGAAAGGUGUGGGCUCAACCCGCACACUGCUUCUGAUACGGGCAGGCUCGAGGCCGGAAGAGGAGAGUGGAAUGCCCUGUGUAGCGGUGAAAUGCGCAGAUAUAGGGCAGAACACCCGUGGCGAAGGCGGCUCUCUGGGACGGUUCUGACGCUGAGGUGCGAAAGCGUGGGGAGCAAACAGG
rnacentral:rRNA from 1 species